CCGACCUUAGCUCAGUUGGAAGAGCGUCAGACUGUAAUUGGAAGCCUUCGAGUGACAUCUGAAUGUCGCCUGUUCGAGCCAGGCAGGUCGGA